AACAUGUCAAACAGGAACUUCAGGUAUGAACAUUGCAAAAACACAUUUCGAAGAAGAUGACCCUCAGAAAUUGGACAGUUAGGAAGCAUACAGGAAAAGAAAGAAGACUUGACAUCACUCCAAAGGAAGAAAACAGCUUUAUCUUAAUGAAUGAAAUGGACAGAAGCAGAACUGAAGGAGAUGCAUGAGGAAUAUUUCAAAGAAUGCCUGAACACAACCACUACUCCUGGAAGACAACAUAGCAAUAUUGCAAUAUAAAAGAGCAGGUCAAUGGAGGUAUCAUACAGUUUAGGCCAUGGGAGACCCUGAAGAAUAAAGUAUUGAACAAUAAUAAAAAUAAAACCAUUUUGACAUUUAUUGUAAUACAGGAUUAAAACCGUACCUGUACAAUUUUUGCAUGUAAUGACUUUUCUCUUGCUCUACAACUAAUUACAGUCAGUAUUUGAUUGAAUAUCUUGAUCCCAAUUCGUCAGAUUUUGACAUAGUGGCAUAGUGCAUAGGAUUUUUUAAAGUUUUGAUACGAAGAAUUUCAUACAUUGUACUUGUAUCUGAGUUUAAGUUGACAAUGAAAAGUUUAGUUCCUGGUGCAACAUACUGUUUAAUUUCCGGAAAAAAAUUUGUUUGUGAUUUCAAACUCAGGUUAAUGAGGUUAUAUCUUUUAACAUUGGCGACUAUAAAAUUCAUUCCUUAAAUAUCAGAAGUGCAUGUUCCUGAUAUAAAUAGGAAUUUUUAUAAUUCUUUGACAGGCUUGUGUAAUCGGUUCAAGAAUUUGUUUUCAUAUAAUAGAACACAAUCUGAGCAACUGAAGAAAAAUAUUUACUCAAGGUUGUGAUUUUCCUACGUGGCAAUGUGGCUUUUAAGUUAACAAACAACAUUAUUUCUUAAUGUUUUAGUACUCAUGUACUAACAUAUUUUUCAUCAUAGAUAAAAUGAAGGUUUGGGAAAGAAAUCUUUUCACUAUCUUGCUCUACCUGUAAUGAGUUAUACUUGAUGCCAAGUUGCAAUAUUUAAAUUUUACAAACAUGGUUAUAAAAUGGUUUUUUUUUUUUUUUUUUUUUUUUUUUUGCUUUAACAGCCAAAUAGUUAAGGCUCAAAAUGCUUAUACCUUUUCCUAUCAUUUGUAAUUUGUACACUGAAUGAGAUGUUGAUUGUUAAAAUUAAAGUAUUCAAGAUUUUUUG